AACGAACGCUGGCGGCAGGCCUAAUACAUGCAAGUCGAGCGCGCCCUUCGGGGUGAGCGGCGGACGGGUGAGUAACGCGUGGGAAUAUGCCCUUCUCUAAGGAAUAGCCUCUGGAAACGGAGAGUAAUACCUUAUACGCCCUUCGGGGGAAAGAUUUUAUCGGAGAAGGAUCGGCCCGCGUUAGAUUAGAUAGUUGGUGGGGUAACGGCCUACCAAGUCUACGAUCUAUAGCUGGUUUUAGAGGAUGAUCAGCAACACUGGGACUGAGACACGGCCCAGACUCCUACGGGAGGCAGCAGUGGGGAAUCUUAGACAAUGGGCGCAAGCCUGAUCUAGCCAUGCCGCGUGAGUGAUGAAGGCCUUAGGGUCGUAAAGCUCUUUCGCCUGUGAUGAUAAUGACAGUAGCAGGUAAAGAAACCCCGGCUAACUCCGUG
rnacentral:rRNA from 1 species